rfam:Asian citrus Psyllid, Diaphorina citri - Florida Strain, whole genome shotgun sequence.
GCGUAGCAAUAGCACUUUGAAUCCGCCAGUUCUCAUUGGAUACCUGUAGUCAAGCAACACCGCGCGUGGUUGGUAUCCAGAUGGGUGACCAUCUGGAGUCUGGACAGUCGUGUGCUGCCGGCU